UACGUAGGUGGCAAGCGUUGUCCGGAAUCACUGGGCGUAAAGGGCGCGUAGGCGGUUGCGUAAGUCAUCUGUGAAAUCCCGGAGCUCAACUCCGGGGCUGCAGGUGAGACUGCGUGACUAGAGCACAGUAGAGGCGAGUGGAAUUCCCGGUGUAGCGGUGGAAUGCGUAGAUAUCGGGAAGAACACCGGUGGCGAAGGCGGCUCGCUGGGCUGUUGCUGACACUGAGAGACGAAAGCUAGGGGAGCAAAUGGG
rnacentral:rRNA from 1 species